GGGGGGGGGGGGGGGGGGCAAUCAUGACUUAAGCRUWYYWMWWAGCGGAGGAAGAGAAACCAACAGSGAUUACCUCAGUAACGGCGAGUGRAGCGGUAACAGCUCAAAUUYGAAAUCUGGCUCCUCGGKGCYCGAAUUGUAAUUUGUAGAAGAUGCUUUGGGUCUGGGCCUGGCCUAAGUUCCUUGGAACAGGACGUCSUAGAGGGUGAGAAUCCCGUAUGCGGCUGGCGCCCGUGCCCGUGUAAAGCUCUUUCAACGARUCGAGUUGUUUGGGAAUGCAGCUCUWAAUGGGUGGKAAAUUUCAUCUAAAGCUAAAUAUUGGCCAGAGACCGAUAGCGCACAAGUAGAGUGAUCGAAAGAUGAAAAGCACUUUGGAAAGAGAGUUAAACAGUACGUGAAAUUGUUGAAAGGGAAGCGCUGGCAACCAGACUUGGGCGCUGUUGAUCCGCUAGGGUUCUCUCUAGGGCACUCGGCAGUGCGCAGGCCAGCAUCGGUUUGGGGGGUUGGAGAAUGGCUGGUGGAAUGUGGCUGUCUUUGGGCAGUGUUAUAGCCACCGGUGGCAUGCAGCCUCCCCGGACCGAGGACCGCGCUUCGGCUAGGAUGCUGGCGUAAUGGUUGUCAGCGACCCGUCUUGAAACACGGACCAAGGAGUCUAACAUCUAUGCGAGUGUUUGGGUGUUAAACCCAUACGCGGAAWGAAAGUGAACGUAGGUGAGAACCCGCAAGGGUGCAUCAUCSACCGAUCCUGAUGUCUUCGGAUGGAUUUGAGUAAGAGCAUAGCUGUUGGGACCCGAAAGAUGGUGAACUAUGCCUGAAUAGGGUGAAGCCAGAKGAAACUCUGGUGGAGGCUCGCAGCGGUUCUGACGUGCAAAUCGAUCGUCAAAUUUGGGUAUAGGGGCGAAAGACUAAUCGAACCAKCUWRUSCUCGUCGUCCCAG
rnacentral:rRNA from 1 species